rnacentral:rRNA from 1 species
AAUCAACGCUGGCGGCGUGCCUCAGACAUGCAAGUCGAACGUGAAAGUUCCUUCGGGGAUGAGUAAAGUGGCGCACGGGUGAGUAACACGUGGGUAAUUUGCCUUCGGGUGGGGAAUACCAACCGGAAACGGUUGUUAAUACCGCAUGAUGCAGCGGCUCCGAUUGGAGACAGUUGUUAAAGCGGGGGAGCGGAGCAAUCCGUCCUCGCGCCUGAAGAGAAGCCCGCGGCGGAUUAGGUAGNGGUGAGGUAAUGGCUCACCAAGCCUGCGAUCCGUAACCGACCUGAGAGGGUGGUCGGUCACACUGACACUGACAUACGGGUCAGACUCCUACGGGAGGCAGCAGUCGGGAAUUUUGGGCAAUGGGCGCAAGCCUGACCCAGCAACGCCGCGUGAAGGAUGAAGCAUUUCGGUGUGUAAACUUCGCAAGAACAGGAAGAAUAAGUGAAUGACAAA